rnacentral:rRNA from 1 species
UAAUACGUAGGGGGCGAGCGUUAUCCGGAUUUACUGGGCGUAAAGCGCGUUAAGGCGGUUGGCAAAGUUGGUGGUGAAAUCCCAGGGCUCAACCCUGGAACUGCCUCCAAUACUGGUCGACUAGAGUGUGAGAGAGGAAGGUGGAAUUCCCGGUGUAGUAGUGAAAUGCGUAGAUAUCGGGAGGAACACCAGUGGCGAAGGCGGCCUUCUGGCUCACAACUGACGCUGUAGCGCGAAAGCGUGGGGAGCGAACGGGAUUAGAUACCCCGGUAGUCCACGCCCUAAACGAUGUGUACUAGGUGUUGGCCGUAUUGACGCGGUCAGUGCCGUAGCUAACGCAUUAAGUACACCGCCUGGGGAGUACGGUCGCAAGAUUA